UCGAGAAUACUUUACAAUGCUGGCAACAGCGAUAAGGGAACCUCGAGUGGCAGGUUACAAAUCUGGCUGUCGAGAUGCCUAAAAAGCAUUUCGUAGCAAGGGCCGGGCAAGACCGGUGCCAGCCGCCGCGGUAACACCGGCGGCUCGAGUGGUAACCGUUAUUAUUGGGUCUAAAGGGUCUGUAGCCGGCCGGAUAAGUCUCUUGAGAAAUCUGGCAGCUUAACCGUCAGGCUUUCAGGAGAUACUGUCUGGCUCGAGGCCGGGAGAGGUGAGGAGUGCGUCGAGGGUAGGGGUGAAAUGGUGUGAGCGGAGGAGGAACAACAGAGGCGGAGGGGACGCGCCGGAACGGAGCUGACGGAAAGGGACGAGAGCGAGGGGC
rnacentral:rRNA from 1 species